rnacentral:rRNA from 1 species
AGUGAACGCUGGCGGUAGGCCUAACACAUGCAAGUCGAACGGCAGCACAGUAAGAGCUUGCUCUUACGGGUGGCGAGUGGCGGACGGGUGAGGAAUACAUCGGAAUCUACUUUUUCGUGGGGGAUAACGUAGGGAAACUUACGCUAAUACCGCAUACGACCUACGGGUGAAAGCAGGGGAUCUUCGGACCUUGCGCGAUUGAAUGAGCCGAUGUCGGAUUAGCUAGUUGGCGGGGUAAAGGCCCACCAAGGCGACGAUCCGUAGCUGGUCUGAGAGGAUGAUCAGCCACACUGGAACUGAGACACGGCCCAGACUCCUACGGGAGGCAGCAGUGGGGAAUAUUGGACAAUGGGCGCAAGCCUGAUCCAGCCAUACCGCGUGGGUGAAGAAGGCCUUCGGGUUGUAAAGCCCUUUUGUUGGGAAAGAAAAGCAGCAGGUUAAUACCCCGCUGUUCGGACGGUACCCAAAGAAUAAGCACCGGCGAACUUCGU